UUGGAGAUAAGAUAAAGCCAAUCUGUGGUGAGAAAGGUCAGCAAUAGCUGCAGGAAAGCAAUGCCAAGAAACUUCUUUGAUAAUGAAAAUGUUCUCAAGCUCUGUGCUAUAGUUUGGAUCUGCAGUGCUCCUCAAAGUCCCAUGUAUGAAAGGCAUGGUCCCCAGCUUGGUGCUUUUGGGACAUGAUGAAAUCUUUAAGAGGUGGGUCCUACCAGGAGGUCUUCAGGACAUUUAAGGUCUUUUCCGAGCUGUCAAAAUUCCUAUCAAGCUAGCCAUGAUGGUGCGGUCCUGUGACCCCAGGUCAGGCAUGUGUAUCCCAAGCUUGAGGACAAUUUGGACAACUGCCUCAAAAUAAAAAAAAAAAAAAAGAAACGUAAAAAAUAAAGAGACUGAAGAUGGAAUCCUGGGCCUUGCACAUGCUAGGUAACUAAAGAUUACCUUUAACAGGGUUUUCCAAACUUCAGUCACCCCAUCUUUGCAUCAAAUUUGUACACAAAAGUAUACAUUACUGAAACUUUUCUUGGGCCAGGGAUGUAGCUCAGCAGCACAGCAUCUACCUUGCAAGUGCA